GAUGAACGCUGGCGGCGUGCCUAAUACAUGCAAGUCGAGCGAACGGACGAGAAGCUUGCUUCUCUGAUGUUAGCGGCGGACGGGUGAGUAACACGUGGAUAACCUACCUAUAAGACUGGGAUAACUUCGGGAAACCGUAGCUAAUACCGGAUAAUAUUUUGAACCGCAUGGUUCAAAAGUGAAAGACGGUCUUGCUGUCACUUAUAGAUGGAUCCGCGCUGCAUUAGAUAGUUGGUAAGGUAACGGCUUACCAAGGCAACGAUGCAUAGCCGACCUGAGAGGGUGAUCGGCCACACUGGAACUGAGACACGGUCCAGACUCCUACGGGAGGCAGCAGUAGGGAAUCUUCCGCAAUGGGCGAAAGCCUGACGGAGCAACGCCGCGUGAGUGAUGAAGGUCUUCGGAUCGUAAAACUCUGUUAUUAGGGAAGAACAUAUGUGUAAGUAACUGUGCACAUCUUGACGGUACCUAAUCAGAAAGCCACGGCUAACUACGUA
rnacentral:rRNA from 1 species